rnacentral:lncRNA from 1 species
CCCGCCCCGCUCGCCCGCGGCGCCGGCUCCGCAGACCUCCCGCCGCAGCGCGCCGCGCCGGGCUCCAUGCCGCGCUCCGGGAUGCGAGGAGAAAGUUGGUGACUCUGUUUUCCCACCGUCAUAGAUGGUGACGGCGAUGCUGAAGGCACUGGGCGAGUUGCUCCUCCUCAGCUCUUCUGUGUGAGGACCAAAGAAUACAA